GGGAGGGGGCGCGCUUGGAGAGGGGAUCCUGGCUGUGCGCGCUGCCGUCUACAGCGCCGUUGCCAGCCGGUGGCGAUGGGUCUGGGGUCGUCUGGGAGACCACGGCGCCGCUGUCCACUCAGAUCCCACCAGAUCUACCUAGAUUCACUGUCUCCAGCCGAAGUCCGAGAACUCGAUCUGGGACCCGGGGAAAGAGCUGCUGCGACUUGCCUUUCUUCCCAAUCCAAGUGAAACUUGCAGUGCAGAGCUGGGAGACUGGGAAAGGGACGCGGAAUGGUACCUGUGGAUGAAUCAGCGCUGCUGGAUAGGCACCCCAUGGGGACAUCUGUGCAAUCUGGACACAGUGACCCAGGGCUGGCCUAGCAGAAGAGAGGGAAGCUUUGCCACACAGCAGAGGUGCUCUCAACAUUUGUGGAUGCUACCCUGGCCCUCGAUUCCUGAGUGCAUGGCCUGGUGAAAGAGGGGACAGAGGAGGCAGGAAAAGAUCAGGAACAACACCAUAAUAAAGUCAUUUUCAUCCAUCGUU